UAAGCUGAUAGCUGGAUCAAGUGAAGGCGGUGCAGCUGUAUUCAAGCUGGAUUACAAGGGGCAGUCUGCAUGUUUAGCCCAGUCGCCUCAACUCUAUAAACAAAUGGCAAUAUGUGGUGGUUUUGGGCGAGUGUUUGAAGUGGGUUCAGUCUUCAGAGCUGAAGAUUCCUACACACACAGGCAUCUGUGUGAGUUUAUUGGCCUUGAUGUUGAGAUGGAGAUUAAAGAGCAUUACUUUGAGGUGAUGGAUAUCGUGGACCAUCUAUUUGUUGAAAUGUUUGACUACCUGAACGACAACUGCAAUGAGG
rnacentral:misc_RNA from 1 species